AGUGGGAUAGCUGGGUCAAAUGGUGUUUCCAUUCCAAGUUUUCUAAGGAAUCUCUAUAUUGCUCUCCAGAUUGGUUGCACCAAUUUGUAAUCCCAUCAGCAAU
rnacentral:pre_miRNA from 1 species